AUCGCAAGCAACACACACAACAUAGAUCUCAUUACAUUACGGCAUCACUUGACGGGCCUGGUCCGUCGAAGGCGUCGCCUCCCGCUGACCGCGCGGGGGUGGUGAGAUAUUCAGCGGUCGACCUACAACUCCACACACACUCUGAUCCCGAGUCACCAUCCAGCGACCCGGACGCGGAGGCCGACGGCACUCGCCGGCGGGGUCCGACAGAGCUUCGACGGGAGGAAACCGCGCGAGGCAUUGUCACACUCCGUUGACGAUCGCCGGCCGGGUUCGGCGACGGAACGAGGCGUGACGGGGCGGCGUGGCGCUCGCGAGCCGGUUGGCGCAGCGGGCGGCAGGUCGGACGGAUUCCGUCCCGGGCAACCGGGCGGCAGGCCGGACGACUCCGCGCCGGGCAUGCGGGCAGGUCGGACGGCUCCCGUCCCGGACUCCGGGCGGGC
rnacentral:sRNA from 1 species